AGAGUUGAUCCUGGCUCAGGAUGAACGCUAGCGACAGGCUUAACACAUGCAAGUCGAGGGGCAGCAUAAAAGUAGCAAUACUUGGUCGGCGACCGGCGCACGGGUGAGUAACGCGUAUGCAACCUACCUAUCAGAGGGGAAUAACCCGGCGAAAGUCGGACUAAUACCGCAUAAAACAGGGGCACCGCAUGGUGAUAUUUGUUAAAGAAAUUCGCUGAUAGAUGGGCAUGCGUUCCAUUAGGUAGUUGGUGAGGUAACGGCUCACCAAGCCGACGAUGGAUAGGGGAACUGAGAGGUUGGUCCCCCACACUGGUACUGAGACACGGACCAGACUCCUACGGGAGGCAGCAGUGAGGAAUAUUGGUCAAUGGGCGGGAGCCUGAACCAGCCAAGUCGCCGUGAAGGAAGAAGGAUCUAUGGUUCGUAAACUUCUUUUGCAGGGGAAUAAAGUGCAGGACGUGUCCUGUUUUGUAUGUACCCUGAGAAUAAGGAUCGGCUAACUCCGUGCCAGCCGCCGC
rnacentral:rRNA from 1 species